GGAGACUCCAGACACCUAGAGAAAGAACAGAAAGUCCAACGGUUUAUGAGGCUUCGAAGCUCAGAAGCAAAGAUCCUCCUUGUGAAUCUCCUGAGUUGGGUCUGAGGUCAUUCCACAGCUGAGCCGGCAGACACCUGGGGUCCCACUAGGCAGAGGAGGAGCCUGAGCUGCUGCUGGCAGAGUGCCUUGCUGGACACCUCACAGUAGGAGUCCUGGGUCACCGGGAGGCAGCAGUGUAACAGAAACGUGCUCAACUGGUGGAGUUGUUACCAUCUAGCUAUGUGAUGAAUGUGCAACUCAGGUAGCCUUUUCCCAAGUGACGGCCAAGAUAAGCACCUGUAAGCCAAGCCACCAUGCCGGCUGUCCACCAGCUUGGUUACUCAAAAUGAGAGCCAUUCACUUCUUUCCCAAGAGAAUCAUUGAAAGUUUCAAGGGUGAUACUCGGCAGCCCAGCAUGGAUCAUGACUGUGACCUUGAGUGGCCAGACCUUGAGCCCUUGGACUGAGAUUGGUGGAGAAGUGAUUCCCUAAGAAAAAUGGAGUUCUUUCUUUUGAAGAGGAGAGCAGAGCUGGGCAUAGUGGUGCACACCUAUAAUCCCAGCACUCUGGAAAGCUAAGGUAAAAGGAUUAUAAGUUUGCGCUUAG